AUUGAACGCUGGCGGCAGGCCUAACACAUGCAAGUCGAGCGGAUGAAGGGAGUUUGCUCCUGGAUUCAGCGGCGGACGGGUGAGUAAUGCCUAGGAAUCUGCCUGGUAGUGGGGGAUAACGUCCGGAAACGGGCGCUAAUACCGCAUACGUCCUGAGGGAGAAAGUGGGGGAUCUUCGGACCUCACGCUAUCAGAUGAGCCUAGGUCGGAUUAGCUAGUUGGUGGGGUAAAGGCCUACCAAGGCGACGAUCCGUAACUGGUCUGAGAGGAUGAUCAGUCACGCUGGAAGUGGGAGGCGGGGCAGACGCCUACGGGAGGCAGCAGUGGGGAAUAUUGGACGAUGGGAGGAAGCCUGAUCCAGCCAUGCCGCGUGUGUGAAGAAGGUCUUCGGAUUGUAAAGCACUUUAAGUUGGGAGGAAGGGCAGUAAGUUAAUACCUUGCUGUUUUGACGUUACCAACAGAAUAAGCACCGGCUAACUUCGUG
rnacentral:rRNA from 1 species